rnacentral:rRNA from 1 species
CCUACGGGUGGCAGCAGUGAGGAAUCUUGGUCAAUGGACGAGAGUCUGACCCAGCAACGUCGCGUGAAGGAUGACUGCCCUCUGGGUUGUAAACUUCUUUUUUAUGGGAAUAAACUGUUCCACGUGUGGGAUUUUGUAUGUACCCUAUGAAUAAGGAUCGGCUACCUCCGUGCCCGCAGCCGCGGUCAUACUGAGGAUCCGAGCGUUAGCCGGAUUUAUUUGGUUUAAAGGUAGCGGAGGUGGAUUCUUAAGUCAGGUGGGAAAGUUUGCGGCUCAAACGUAAAAUUGCAGUUGAUACUGGCAGUCUUGAGUACAGGAGAGGUGGGCGGAAUUCGUGGUGUAGCGGUGAAAUGCUUAGAUAUAACGAAGAACUCCGAUUGCGAAGGCAGCUCACUGGACUGCAACUGACACUGAGGCUCGAAAGUGUGGGUAGCAAACAGGAUUAGAUACCCGAGUAGUC